UAUUAUAAUUUAUUUGAAAAUAAAUAAAUCUGGGUAUUAUUAGUUAAGUUCUAUAAACUCAAAGAAUUUGGCGGUGUUUUAGUCUCUUCAGGGGAAUCUGUUUUGUAAUUGAUAAUACACGAUUUUUUGUACUUGAUUUUGCUAUCAGUUUGUAUACCGCCGUUAUAAGAAUAUUCUAAUAAGGAAUUUAAUUUUCUUUAAUGUUUAUUAAGUUUUUAUAUCAGGUCAAGGUGCAGCUUAUGAUUAAGUUAAAAUGGAUUACAAUAAAUGUAUUUAUUAUGAAUAAUUAUGGUUAAAUUUUUAAUUUGAAGGUGAAUUUGAUUGUAAAUUAAUUGAAAUUGGUUAUUUGAUUAGGGCUCUAAAUUGUGUACAUAUUGCCCGUCGCUCUCAUUUUAGGUGAG
rnacentral:rRNA from 1 species